rnacentral:lncRNA from 1 species
GUAGGCACAACUGUCUCCAUCUCCUGGGUGAGGAAAUUGGGGCUCAGGGAGGUCACAUCACUUGCCCAGGGUCAUCCAACCGGUUCCCCUCCCAGGCAACUGCUUCAGUGGCCUCUGAAGACAGCAGGUAAAUGGAUAAACCAACUGAGUAUAUCCCUCCCGAGGACUACUUACUACUCAGCAACACAAAGAGAUGAGACAGUGAUACAGGCAGCCUGGACAAGAGGCAAAUCAUCAUGUGAGUGAAAGAAGGCAAACAAAAAAGUACCUACUAUAGGAUCCCACUCAUAUAAAGUGCAGAGAGUGUCAACUAAUCUAGAGGGCUGGAAAGAAGAUUGAUGGUUACAGGAGGACAAGGGGUAGUGCCAGGGGGAGGGACUAAAAAGGGGCACAUGGAAGGUUUGGGUGUUGGGUCCAUUCACUAUCUUGACUAUGCUGAUGGUUUCACGGUUAUAUACAUGUGUUGAAAUUUAUCAAAUUCUACGCUUUAAAUAUGUGUGGUUUAUUAUAUGUCAAUGUUAUCUCAAAAAAGCUGUUUACAAAAAAACAAGUUGCAGAGGCCUUGGACACAGCCCACCCAGGUGAGCCAAGUGCUUCCGCCCA